rnacentral:lncRNA from 1 species
CUCGGGCCGGCAGCGCGGCAGCUCCGGUGCGGGAGCGCCGUGCUCCUGUGGGGCCGUACCUCAGUGUUACUGCAAAGGUAAAACCCCGCUCCGGCGGCGGGCUCGUGCGUAAAUAACAUCUGUGUGUGGGCGGAUGGUGGGCAGCUCUGCUCGCAGGGACGGAGAGGAACCGCUCCGAGCCGCAGCGUUUGAAAUCGUAAACGUAGCCAGAGAAGUUUGGAAGGAACUCGUCGUAAUGGUCUGUUUAUAAAAAUGGAGAUUAAUCUUGUCCCGUUCCAUAUAAGCACCACGAGUCUGGUUUUUUUCGCUCUUUUCGUUUUUCGAGCGAUUGUUGUACGUUGGCUUUAAAAACAACAGCGACAAAAAAAUGUUUUCUAGGAAAAGCGUUUGUCUUUCUUUUUUUUUUUUUCUUUUCUCUUCUCCCCCUAAAAAUAAUUAGGAAUUCAGUAGUUUUGCUACGCCGUUCCGACCAGAACUUUCUCACGUGUUCGCGUGGAGCAGAGCUGCCCGACCCGAUGCUGGGGCGGUUUCCAACAAGUGCCCCGCUCUGCUGCGGGGGAAAUGUGCCCCCGCACGUUGGCUCGCAUCGACACGGAAAGGGCUUCUGUUAGCGAGGGGGGAAUGGCUUCCAGAGAGUGCGAUUUGGGUAAGGAAGCCCUUCCUAGGAGAACGGUGAUCGUUUUUAGCAAGUUAGUGGAAAUGCAUUUGGAAGGAUUCGAGUCGGUGUCAAGCUUUCUUAUUUUUUUUUUAACGUAUCACCACCAAAUUUUGCCAGCUCGGGAGUCAAAGAAGUUAAAGGAUGAUAUUAAUGGAUAUCACCGUUGAAAAUAAUUCAGCAGUGACUCCCCCGCCCCCCGGGAAGUUGCCUGCUCGCGGGCAUUGUGUGAGAUAACAGCUCCGGACUCCUCUUUCGCUCUUUGUGAGCUCCGUUCCUUUGUGGGACUCCUCCAAAUCAAAGCCCGCUGUAGUUCGGGUGGGAAAACGCAUUUCUGUUACUGGGAAGUCGAGGAGGCUGGAAAUAUUUAAUAGGAAAACCCCACCACGGUAGCAUCUAAAAGCAAUAACUUUAAAAUCGAGGGGAAGGAAAAAAAAAAAAAAAAAGCUUUUAUUUGUUCCGUUUUACCUCUCCCGCUGAGCGUUCCGGAGAUGCGUUUACUGUUAAUUGCCGUUCGGCGAUUUUCAAAAGAGGUAAAGAUCAAAGCUUUCCCAACAGAGUCGCAAGUUGAAAAUGGACUAAAAAUGGCGACGAGAAAUUUGCUGUAAAGAAUCAGCUGUAAAGUGAGUUUUCCCACUCGGCAGUUCCAGCUCCGAUGUCAGUCGAUGCUUUCUAAUACAGCACCCAUUUUAUGUAAAACUCUGCUUUUUCUGUUAUUCGUGGAGGACUCCUGUGAUGCUUCCAUCCACCCAAUAACGUGCCUCUGUAAAGGAAAGACUUCUGCUUGUUCAAUGCUUUGUUUUAUUCACCGAAGUUACAAUGAUUGUAUACUUUGUAGAGAAAAAGCAGUGAAAUUUAAAGCGAGUAUGCAGAUCCCAGCAUUGUUGUUGGAAGUGAUUAAUGGCUAGUAAAAAUUUAAGGUGAAUACCUCUUUAUUUUUGCUAAUGAAGCUGACGUGCCACGCAGUGCUGCAUGGUAACAUUUCCGUGAGGGAUCCCUUAAACUUUUGAAACGCUUCACACGUGGGAAGGGUAAUUUUCAUUCACUCGUGCAUUCAUUCUACUCAAAAAACAGCUAAAAAAAUGUGGGUACGUAUCACCCUGUUGUAUGUUUGUCAUACCCAAACUCGCCUAGCUGUUAGACCCUGUAGGUUUCUUUUAAGAGAAUUGGCUUUUCUCCUCGUGUUGAGAUUAACAAUGAAAUUAUUCAGUCUUACCCCCUGAAUUAUAUUCCUCUCUAAUUAUUUUAAUCUCUUAUAUAUCACUAUAAGAAGGACAGGCUUCUUUUUUCAAACAGAAAAUUGGCCUUCUGUGUCGUGUCAGCGCUUAUUAAAUACUACAAUCAUAAGAACACAUAUGCUACAAGAUUUUACGUUCUGAUUCCGUAGCUGUUACGGGCUUAGCGGCUGCAGUAUUUAUUUAGUGGUAAUGCAUUGCUUUUUCCUAUUUUGCAUUUCAAAGCUCUCCCUUAAACGACUGUUUUACAGAACUAUCCAGAGGUUAUCUAAAUUUCCCCAUCAAAUAUUACGCAGCACCAUAAGCUGGGAGUCGUGGAGUUUCUUUCCUUUCAUUUACACUCUCUUUAUAGAAAGAACUGAUCAGAAAAGCCACAAAAAAUACAACAAAUCCUUUAGGAAACGGUUCGGUGUAUUUGGUUUGACUGAAUUUGGACCAUAGCAAAGUUUCAAGCUGGUGUUAAACGCUCUCAGAGUACAACGUUUUUAUUUGAACGCUAUGCAGUGUGCUUCUCAUGGAUAUAUUCUCGGUUCCUCGGCGCGGCUUUAAUCACGUUGUUGCAAAGCAAUUAAUUUUUUGGUUGCUGUAGUGAUGCAUUUUUAUAAAGCCAGAAAUUGGGUUUCAGAAUCACCAACGUCAAAAAAGCCAAAGCCCCAAACCCGGCGCUGCCGGGAGCCGCACGCGUUGCUGUUCAAAGAGGAAGCUGCAGGAAAACCGUCUCAAUUAAUUAAUAAAGAAAUAGGAAAGCAAAAGCAAUGAUAAAAAUGUACGACUGUUUGUUGCAAUACAAGCGUUACUGUACGCGUACAUUCGUCCAGCAAAUUAAAAUACACUUAAUAUGUUUUCCUUUCAAAAGGAUAUUUGUUUUAAUUUACCUGUCAGGGAAAUAAAGGACAGAUUUGCCGCUGUACCGUGAUUUUUUUCUCCUUGUCAGGGUUAACAGAAUCAUUGGGAAUGCUUUUUAAAUUAGAUGUCAUUUUCUUGACACGAACGAGGAAGGGCCAGGAGGGUGUAUCUACCUUCAGAUCAUUUGCCUUUUUUAGCAGUGGGGUCUGUUGGGUGCUUUAUUUCCUCACGCAGUAAUUGCUCACACCUGCAAUUUUCAGCGUACUUUUUUACAAGCCUUAAAAGUAAUAAAAAUAGCGUUGUGUGUUUUCUCCUACAAAUAGUUCCGAGUUCAGACGUGUGUUCUUCCCCGCUAAGAUGGGGCGGUUUUGUGCGGGGCGGCUUUUUUUUGGGAGCACUGCCUGCAUUAUUUUACGCAAACUGAAACAUUCCACAUCCUGACACCCUCCCCCCGUUUGUUUUUUUGUUCCGUGUGUGCAAAACGUCUAACCUCGGGGAUACGGCAGCGUGCAUUUACAGAGAAACGUUACAGCGGGUCCCAAAUGGCUGUGCUAAUUGCACUGGGCUGGGCCUUCACGGAGGAAGCUGCCUCCAUCACUCCCCUUGCCUUUGCCCUCCAUUCUUCCUCUAUUUAUCUAAUUUCACUUAAAACUUUCAGGGAGAGAAAAGAGCGUGACCCGAGCUGUCCUGCCUGCACUGCGGCUCUGGGGGUGGAGCUGGGCACAUCCUUACCCAGAUCCCUUCUUCCUGCUCCCAUACACGUUAGUUAACAACAUAUAAAACGCAUAUAUAUGUGCGGGUCCAGGUAGCCACGCGUCCAGGAAAGCACACAGUUCAGCAGUGAUUUGUGCAGAUACCGGAUCCACAGAGCUGGCCUUGCACAGUGGUCACAAAAAGCACCCGUUCGCCACACCAAUUCUACACGUCUGCCUUUUAGCGCGGCAACGGAGAUGAAGCAGUGAGGGCUUCCUGGCCCAACGCAAAUACAGAAACAAAAUAAAUAUCUAGCGGCCCUGGGGCGGGUGAGGGAGGGCCGGGCCGGGCUGCCUGCAUUUCUGUGCUCCCGAGCCCUGCCACGAGCUCUGGAGCUGCCUGCAGCUCGGGGCCGUCCUCAGAGCGGGCCGCCUCUGCUCAACCAGCUUUGCGAUUAUUCUUUUUUAACGUUAAUUUUUAAUUUUAAUACGAUAUAAGUGUUAAAUAAAAUGAUAUAAAAAAUCCCCCCCC